UCUGGAGUGAGACUGUUCAGGUAUUAAUUUAUUCUCAUGUAAAAUUAACUAAAAAUCGCCAUUGAUUAAAAAAAGAAAAUGCAAAUGCCAAUGAUUCAUAGUAUUUAGGACAUGUCUAGACAUUUUUAGACAGUGCCAUUUGCUUAAAGACUUCAGGCACAAACUGCAGGCACAGGGACAGAUUGCAUAAGAUGUCACGUGCUUGCUGCAACUGUAUGCAUGUUAUUGAAUUUUUUAGAGCAACCCAUACCGUGAAUAAUUUAAUAGUUAAUAAAAUAUUCAAUCUGACUGAUCCAUUGGUUUAAUUUUAAAAUAAAGACGACUAAUAAAAGGAGUUACAUAUCCUUAUCAAAUCCCAGGCAUUAAUGCAAGUAAAUUGCAACCCAUACGUAGGGAAAACACCAAUUUCUAAGAGACAUGAGAUUAAUGAUUGGGGGCGGGAAGGAGUGCAAGGAAAAUUCUGUGUUAGCACUGGCUUCAAUAAGUUUGCCGGAAGUUUAAUUGUUUGGAGCUGUCACGGAAGCUGUACUCUGCCUUCUGCAGAGGUGAGGGAGAAAAAAUUAGAGAGGUGCAAGUUUUAACAGAAAGGGCUAAUGCAAAAUGGUCUAUUUAUUUUUCCUCAAGCCUUUCCCCUGUCCUCACAAGCUAGCUGGGGGAAAAAGGGAGAAAUCUCCUGAAGAAUAUGGAGCAUCCAGCUUCCCGAGCAUUGUCUAAGAGAACCAGGAUGGAGAGUCCAGGCAACAUCUCCAUGGUUGGCUUGUCUGGCGGAGUAAGCUGUGCCCUCGGCGCGGGUAUCUUCAGGAGACAGAGCUCCUGGCUGCAGCGAGCCGGGACUUGCCGCGCCCCGGGGCUCCCUCAAUCAGACCCAGCCAGGCAAGCGCGGCCACAUAGGCAAGCGCGGCCACAUAGGCUAGACGCACUAUCUUCUCCUCUACCCCGCGCCGCCCUCCACCUCGGAGCGGGGACGUACGGUGGUGGCGGUGACACAAUGCGAGUGAGUGGCCUUUGGAAGGAAUUGGGCCAUGAGAAGAGCCCUCAUGAAUGGGAUUAGUUCCCUUAUAAGAAGAGACACCAAGGAAGUGAUCUUUCUCUGCCCUCUGCUAUGUGAAGACAAGGUCAUCUGCAGUUUUUUGUUGUUGUUGAUGAUCUUCCUGUCAUAGACAAUGCUGUAACAAACAGACUAAUUGUUCACUGUUGACAUAUAGAAGUACUACUGAUUGGCCAGACAUAGUGGCUCAUGCCUGGAAUCCCAGCACUUUGGGAGGCCAAGGCAGGUGGAUCACUUGAGCCCAGAAGUUUGAGACCAGCCUGGGCAACAUGAUGAAACCCCAUCUCUACAAAAUAAAUAGAAAAAUUAGCUGGGUAUGGUGGCAUGUGCCAGUAGUCCCAGCUACAUGGGAGCCUGAGGUGGGAGGACGACUUGAGCCCAGGAGGUGGAGGUUACAGUGAGCUGAGAUCAUGCCACUGCACUCCAGCCUGGGUGACAGAGUGGGACUCUGUCUAAAAAAAAAAUUGUAUUAUCUGUAAACGGAAA
rnacentral:lncRNA from 1 species